GAUGAAGAACGCAGCGAAAUGCGAUACUUGGUGUGAAUUGCAGAAUCCCGUGAACCAUCGAGUCUUUGAACGCAAGUUGCGCCCGAAGCCUCGGCUAAGGGCACGUCUGCCUGGGCGUCACGCAUCGCGUCUCCCCCAAACCGCCAAGGCGGAGGGGAAGGAAGAUGGCUUCCCGUGCCUCACCCGGGCGCGGUUGGCCUAAAUUUGGAGCCCGCGGCACUUAGCUCUCGCGGCGAUAGGUGGUGAACAAGGCCUUGGCCGUGCAAACAACCCGCUGCGAAGCUCUAUGUCACGUGCGCUCGUCGGACCCUUUGAAGUUGCCUUUGGUGACUUAAAACCUUUGCGACCCCAGGUCAGGCGGGGCUACCCGCUGAAUUUAAGCAUAUCAAUAAGCGGAGGA
rnacentral:misc_RNA from 1 species